rnacentral:rRNA from 1 species
CCAGGUGGUGUGAGAUGGAUCCGCGUCUGAUUAGCCAGUUGGCGGGGUAACGGCCCACCAAAGCGACGAUCAGUAGCCGACCUGAGAGGGUGACCGGCCACAUUGGGACUGAGACACGGCCCAAACUCCUACGGGAGGCAGCAGUGGGGAAUAUUGCACAAUGGGCGGAAGCCUGAUGCAGCGACGCCGCGUGAGUGAAGAAGUAUCUCGGUAUGUAAAGCUCUAUCAGCAGGGAAGAAAAUGACGGUACCUGACUAAGAAGCCCCGGCUAACUACGUGCCAGCAGCCGCGGUAAUACGUAGGGGGCAAGCGUUAUCCGGAUUUACUGGGUGUAAAGGGAGCGUAGACGGCGACGCAAGUCUGGAGUGAAAGCCCGGGGCCCAACCCCGGGACUGCUUUGGAAACUGUGUUGCUGGAGUGCAGGAGAGGUAAGUGGAAUUCCUAGUGUAGCGGUGAAAUGCGUAGAUAUUAGGAGGAACACCAGUGGCGAAGGCGGCUUACUGGACUGUAACUGACGUUGAGGCUCGAAAGCGUGGGGAGCAAACAGGAUUAGAUACCCUGGUAAUCCACGCCGUA